GGAUCCAUAGCUCAGUUGGUUAGAGCGCUUGAUUCACAUUCAAGAGGUCAGUGGUUCGAGUCCACUUGGGUCCA
rnacentral:tRNA from 1 species